rnacentral:rRNA from 1 species
UCUGGAAACGGGGUCUAAUACCGGAUAUGAGCCUGGGAGGCAUCUCCCGGGUUGUAAAGCUCCGGCGGUGAAGGAUGAGCCCGCGGCCUAUCAGCUUGUUGGUGAGGUAAUGGCUCACCAAGGCGACGACGGGUAGCCGGCCUGAGAGGGCGACCGGCCACACUGGGACUGAGACACGGCCCAGACUCAUACGGGAGGCAGCAGUGGGGAAUAUUGCACAAUGGGCGAAAGCCUGAUGCAGCGACGCCGCGUGAGGGAUGACGGCCUUCGGGUUGUAAACCUCUUUCAGCAGGGAAGAAGCGAAAGUGACGGUACCUGCAGAAGAAGCGCCGGCUAACUACGUGCCAGCAGCCGCGGUAAUACGUAGGGCGCAAGCGUUGUCCGGAAUUAUUGGGCGUAAAGAGCUCGUAGGCGGCUUGUCACGUCGAUUGUGAAAGCCCGAGGCUUAACCUCGGGUCUGCAGUCGAUACGGGCUAGCUAGAGUGUGGUAGGGGAGAUCGGAAUUCCUGGUGUAGCGGUGAAAUGCGCAGAUAUCAGGAGGAACACCGGUGGCGAAGGCGGAUCUCUGGGCCAUUACUGACGCUGAGGAGCGAAAGCGUGGGGAGCGAACAGGAUUAGAUACCCUGGUAGUCCACGCCGUAAACGGUGGGAACUAGGUGUUGGCGACAUUCCACGUCGUCGGUGCCGCAGCUAACGCAUUAAGUUCCCCGCCUGGGGAGUACGGCCGCAAGGCUAAAACUCAAAGGAAUUGACGGGGGCCCGCACAAGCGGCGGAGCAUGUGGCUUAAUUCGACGCAACGCGAAGAACCUUACCAAGGCUUGACAUACACCGGAAACGUCUGGAGACAGGCGCCCCCUUGUGGUCGGUGUACAGGUGGUGCAUGGCUGUCGUCAGCUCGUGUCGUGAGAUGUUGGGUUAAGUCCCGCAACGAGCGCAACCCUUGUUCUGUGUUGCCAGCAUGCCCUUCGGGGUGAUGGGGACUCACAGGAGACCGCCGGGGUCAACUCGGAGGAAGGUGGGGACGACGUCAAGUCAUCAUGCCCCUUAUGUCUUGGGCUGCACACGUGCUACAAUGGCCGGUACAAUGAGCUGCGAUACCGUGAGGUGGAGCGAAUCUCAAAAAGCCGGUCUCAGUUCGGAUUGGGGUCUGCAACUCGACCCCAUGAAGUAGGAGUCGCUAGUAAUCGCAGAUCAGCAUUGCUGCGGUGAAUACGUUCCCGGGCCUUGUACACACCGCCCGUCACGUCACGAAAGUUGGUAACACCC